UAGGGAAUCUUCGGCAAUGGGGGGAACCCUGACCGAGCAACGCCGCGUGAGUGAAGAAGGUUUUCGGAUCGUAAAGCUCUGUUGUUAAGGAAGAACGAGUGUGAGAAUGGAAAGUUCAUGCUGUGACGGUACUUAACCAGAAAGGGACGGCUAACUACGUGCCAGCAGCCGCGGUAAUACGUAGGUCCCGAGCGUUGUCCGGAUUUAUUGGGCGUAAAGCGAGCGCAGGCGGUUAGAAAAGUCUGAAGUGAAAGGCAGUGGCUCAACCAUUGUAGGCUUUGGAAACUCUUUAACUUGAGUGCAGAAGGGGAGAGUGGAAUUCCAUGUGUAGCGGUGAAAUGCGUAGAUAUAUGGAGGAACACCGGUGGCGAAAGCUGCUCUCUGGUCUGUAACUGACGCUGAGGCUCGAAAGCGUGGGGAGCGAACAGG
rnacentral:rRNA from 1 species